AUACUUACCUGGCAGAGGAUGUACCAUGAUCUGGGAGGUGGCUUUCCCACCGUAAGCCUUGUCCAUUGCACUCUUGGAUGUAUUAACCCCCUCCCCACACACACACACAAAAGUUCACCCAAUUCAAGAAACCCAAUUACUUGAUUUGUGGGAGUGGGGGACUGAUUUGCAUUUUCCUCGA
rnacentral:snRNA from 1 species